GACGAACGCUGGCGGCGUGCUUAACACAUGCAAGUCGAACGGAAAGGCCCUGCUUUUGUGGGGUGCUCGAGUGGCGAACGGGUGAGUAACACGUGAGUAACCUGCCCUUGACUUUGGGAUAACUUCAGGAAACUGGGGCUAAUACCGGAUAGGAGCUCCUGCUGCAUGGUGGGGGUUGGAAAGUUUCGGCGGUUGGGGAUGGACUCGCGGCUUAUCAGCUUGUUGGUGGGGUAGUGGCUUACCAAGGCUUUGACGGGUAGCCGGCCUGAGAGGGUGACCGGCCACAUUGGGACUGAGAUACGGCCCAGACUCCUACGGGAGGCAGCAGUGGGGAAUAUUGCACAAUGGGCGGAAGCCUGAUGCAGCAACGCCGCGUGCGGGAUGACGGCCUUCGGGUUGCAAACCGCUUUCGCCUGUGACGAAGCGUGAGUGACGGUAAUGGGGAAAGAAGCACCGGCUAACUACGG
rnacentral:rRNA from 1 species